GACGAACGCUGGCGGCGUGCUUAACACAUGCAAGUCGAACGGUGAUGCUCCAGCUUGCUGGAGUGGAUCAGUGGCGAACGGGUGAGUAACACGUGAGCAACCUGCCCCAGACUCUGGAAUAAGCGCUGGAAACGGCGUCUAAUACUGGAUACGAAACUGGCCCGCAUGGGCAUGGUUUGGAAAGUUUUUCGGUUUGGGAUGGGCUCGCGGCCUAUCAGCUUGUUGGUGAGGUAAUGGCUCACCAAGGCGACGACGGGUAGCCGGCCUGAGAGGGCGACCGGCCACACUGGGACUGAGACACGGCCCAGACUCCUACGGGAGGCAGCAGUGGGGAAUAUUGCACAAUGGGCGAAAGCCUGAUGCAGCGACGCCGCGUGAGGGAUGACGGCCUUCGGGUUGUAAACCGCUUUCGCCUGUGACGAAGCGUGAGUGACGGUAAGGGGUAAAGAAGCACCGGCUAACUACG
rnacentral:rRNA from 1 species